rnacentral:rRNA from 1 species
UACGAAGGGGGCUAGCGUUGUUCGGAAUCACUGGGCGUAAAGGGCGCGUAGGCGGCUUUAUAAGUCGGGGGUGAAAGCCUGUGGCUCAACCACAGAAUUGCCUUCGAUACUGUAUGGCUUGAGACCGGAAGAGGUAAGUGGAACUGCGAGUGUAGAGGUGAAAUUCGUAGAUAUUCGCAAGAACACCAGUGGCGAAGGCGGCUUACUGGUCCGGUUCUGACGCUGAGGCGCGAAAGCGUGGA